rnacentral:lncRNA from 1 species
AAUCACACUAUCUGCUAUGUCUUGCUUACUGUCAUCAACUUUCCCAUUUUCUUUUCCUGAUGCAGUUCCUGCCUCAUCCACUUCUUGGGGUUUUUCAGUGCCCUCCUGCUCCUCAGGUUUCUCAGUCACAUCCUCCUUCUCUUGGGGUUUUUCAGUUACCUCCUCCUCAGUAUUCAAAGCUUCCCCUGCAAUUUUCUCCUCUGACUCUACCAACAAUGCUUCUUCUCCUCCCUCAGGUUUUUCAGCUGUUGCAUUUUGCACUUCAGCAUUACUGUUAUCAAUCUCCUCUGUAUCAGUCAUUUUUUUGUUGUUGUUAUCAGUUUCAUCAGGAUCUGGUUUCGAUUCUUCAGUGGCGGGUUCGUUUUCUUUGCUAUCCUUCUUUG